AGAAGUGAGUGGUUUCUUAACUAAACAGAGGGUGCUACUAUUCCCGGAGCUUGAAGAAGAAGCAGUGGGUUUCAAUGGGAUGGUAAAUCCUGAGAUUAUGUGAGACUUGACAGCCAUCUAAGGAUUAAUGGGAACAAAAAUUGAAGGGUUUUAUUGGUUUGUUUUUUUUUUUUUUUUUUGAACAAGGUUUUAUUGCUACGAGAAAAUAAAGAACCAUAAAUUUUAUAGAUAGAAAUUAAAGAGAUGAAGAAAUCA
rnacentral:lncRNA from 1 species